rnacentral:rRNA from 1 species
AGUAACGCGUGGGUAACCUGCCUCAUACAGGGGGAUAACAGUCAGAAAUGGCUGCUAAUACCGCAUAAGCGCACAGAGCUGCAUGGCUCAGUGUGAAAAACUCCGGUGGUAUAAGAUGGACCCGCGUUGGAUUAGCUAGUUGGUGGGGUAACGGCCCACCAAGGCGACGAUCAGUAGCCGGUCUGAGAGGAUGAACGGCCACACUGGAACUGAGACACGGUCCAGACUCCUACGGGAGGCAGCAUG